CAACACAAGCCACAUACCAGCUCCUCAUCAACAUGACUCUGGUGUGCGUCCUCAUGUGGACUGUCCUCUGCUGCUGCUUCACAGAGUCCAGAGGAGAGGUGACAGUGAGUCAGGCUGGAGCAGUGAGGGCCGCCCUGGGGGACACGGUCACUAUACGCUGUACCACCAGUGUAAAUGUGUUCUAUCUCAGUAGCUAUGGUCACUAUUUACACUGGUACCAACAGAAAGAUGGAGAGCCUCCUAAAGCUCUUAUAUAUCUUGCAUCUACUCGAGCCUCAGAUGUCCCCAGUCGUUUUUCAGGCAGUGGAUCUGGGUCUGAUUUCACUCUGACCAUCAGUGGAGUUCAGCCUGAAGACUUUGCUGUGUAUCACUGUGAGGGUGAAUUUGAUGCUUCCCGUUAUGACCAGUUCACACAGUGAAAAAGACUCGUACAAAAACCUCCU